UACGUAGGGUGCAAGCGUUGUCCGGAAUUAUUGGGCGUAAAGAGCUCGUAGGCGGUUUGUCGCGUCUGCUAAGUGGAAACAUCGGGCUCACUCCGAGCUUGCAGGUGGUACGGGGCAGACUAGAGUGCGGUAGGGGAGACUGGAAUUCCUGGUGUAGCGGUGGAAUGCGCAGAUAUCAGGAGGAACACCGGUGGCGAAGGCGGGUCUCUGGGCCGUAACUGACGCUGAGGAGCGAAAGCAUGGGGAGCGAACAGG
rnacentral:rRNA from 1 species